AUUGAACGCUGGCGGCAUGCUUUACACAUGCAAGUCGAACGGCAGCGCGGGCUUCGGCCUGGCGGCGAGUGGCGAACGGGUGAGUAAUACAUCGGAACGUGCCCAGUAGUGGGGGAUAGCUCGGCGAAAGCCGGAUUAAUACCGCAUACGACCUGAGGGUGAAAGCGGGGGAUCUUCGGACCUCGCGCUAUUGGAGCGGCCGAUGGCAGAUUAGCUAGUUGGUGGGGUAAAGGCCUACCAAGGCGACGAUCUGUAGCUGGUCUGAGAGGACGACCAGCCACACUGGGACUGAGACACGGCCCAGACUCCCACGGGAGGCAGCAGUGGGGAAUUUUGGACAAUGGGCGAAAGCCUGAUCCAGCAAUGCCGCGUGUGUGAUGAAGGCCUUCGGGUUGUAAAGCACUUUUGGCGGGAACGAAAAGGACUGUGCCAAUACCACGGUUCGAUGACGGUACCCGCAGAAUAAGCACCGGCUAACUACGUG
rnacentral:rRNA from 1 species